rnacentral:rRNA from 1 species
AUGGAUUCGAGGAUAGCUUUCUCUGGCUGUGCUCUGCUACUGGUGGUCACACUGUUGCCUCUUUCCGCAAAUGCGUCGAGCAAACUCCACAUAGUGUACAUGGGGGAGAAGAAACAUGACGAUCCAUCUGCUGUCACGGCGUCACACCAUGACAUACUAACCUCCGUUCUUGGGAGCAAAGAUGAAUCGUUGAAGUCGAUAGUUUACAGUUACAAACACGGAUUCUCUGGGUUCGCGGCAAUGCUCACCAAAACCCAAGCUAGGACGUUGGCAAAAUUUCCUGAAGUUAUAAGUGUGAAGCCUAACACUUACCACAAGGCGCACACAACUCGAAGCUGGGACUUCCUUGGCCUUGGACACAACAAAUCACCACAACAAACUGACCUCCUCCGAAAAGCGAAUUACGGUGAAGAUAUCAUCUUCGGGGUGAUCGAUUCAGGCAUAUGGCCUGAAUCACGAAGUUUUGAUGACAACGGAUACGGCCCUGUGCAGGCACGGUGGAAAGGCAUAUGCCAGACCGGAACAACGUUCAAUGCAAUGAGUUGCAAUAGAAAGAUCAUCGGCGCACGGUGGUACUCCGAGGGAAUUAAUGCCAUGCACCUCAAGGGGACGCCGCACACAACCCCUCACCUCAAGGGUGAGUACAUGUCACCUCGGGAUUUCAGCGGCCAUGGCACUCAUGUUGCCUCGACGAUUGCCGGAGGAGAAGUGCAGGAUGUGAGCUAUGCGGGCCUAGCCACCGGCAUGGCACAUGGCGGGGCACCACGUGCACGGCUAGCAAUUUACAAGGUGUUAUGGGGCCCGAACACAGCAGCCAGUGACGCGAGCAUCCUCGCAGCCAUUGACGAUGCCAUACACGAUGGUGUAGAUGUCUUAUCGCUCUCACUGGGAAGGGGUGCCGGUCAUGAGUUCCCUGGGACACUUCAUGCUGUCUUGAGAGGGAUCUCAGUUAUCUUCUCUGCCGGGAAUGAUGGCCCGGCACCACAAACGGUGACGAAUGUCGUGCCAUGGGUCACGACAGUGGCCGCUAGCACGAUGGACCGGGCCUUCCCAACCUUCAUAUCUCUCAGAAACAAAGAAAAGCUUGUGGUAUGUACUUUAAAACUUUUGCGCAGCUGCACGAAGGAGUGGUUAGCGUCAAGCAAUGUGACCGGCAAGAUCGUGUUGUGCUAUGCACCGAGGGAGGCUCCGAGCGUGUUGCCUCGGUACAACAUGAACAGCUUGGACUCCCUGACGGCGUGCAAGGCCGGCAUGCCAUGCGUUGUGGUAGACUACGAAAUCGCACAGAAAAUUGCAUCUUACUGGGAGAACACAGAGAAUCCCAUUGUGAAGGUCUCACCUACCAUGAUUGUUGUCGGAGACGGGGUGCUAUCACCGAGGGUUGCUUCAUUCUCCUCCAGAGGUCCGAGCCCCCUAUAUCCAGGCAUACUCAAGCCCGACAUAACCGCGCCGGGUGUUAGCAUCUUAGCAACUGUUCGUGGCUCCUAUGUGUUAUUUUCUGGUACAUCCAUGGCAUGUCCACAUGUCUCUGCGGUGACCGCACUGCUUAAGUCGAUUCACCCUGAUUGGUCACCUGCUAUGAUCAAGUCUGCAAUUGUCACCACAGCGUCAGUGACCGAUGGUUUUGGUGCGCCGAUCGAAGCAGAGACGGUCCCGAGGAAGGUGGCUGAUCCUUUCGACUUUGGUGGUGGCCACAUAAACCCAGACAGAGCUAGUGACCCUGGCUUGGUUUACAAUGUGGAUGCAAGAGAGUACAACAAGUUUUUUAACUGUACCAUAGGAUUGUUACAUGGUUGCGAAUCCUACCAACUCAAUCUCAAUCUCCCGUCGAUCGCUAUUCCGGACCUCAAGGACCAUGUCACGGUUCAACGCACUAUCACAAAUGUGGGGGCGGUCGGAACAACUUAUCGUGCGGUGCUUGAAGCUCCAGCAUGGGUGGUCAUGUCCGUGGAGCCAUCAAUGGUCACAUUCGCCAAAGGUAGUAGCACAAGCAUGACAUUUAGGGUGUCGUUUACUACAAGGCGGAGAGUGCAAGGCGGGUUUACCUUUGGGAGCUUGACAUGGUCAGAUGGAAAUACCCACCCAGUUAGGAUUGCUGUCGCAGUAAGAACUGUGAUACAAGACUUUGUCACGGAUACAUCUUAA